AGGUGAUGCUGAGAGGUGUUGACUGGUUAUAGCCAUGAAGAAGCUGAAAAUAUUCGUGCUCAUGGAUGAAAAACAGAGAAAAUGACGGACUACAGCCAAGUUGAGCUUCUUGCACAGCUCAGCUUUGUCCUGCGUUCCCAGGUAAGCGUUCCUCUUGAACGCUCGCUCCAUGCUGCUGAUCUGAUCCGCUGUGAACGCCGUGCGAGGCCUCCUGCCUGAAGGGGGCGACGUGGGGCAGGAAGAGGAGGAGGAGGAAGGGGAGGAAGGGGAGGAGGUGCAGUCUGCGUCGGGGGCUGAGAGGGAGAUGGAAUGACCUCCUUCGCUCUCGUAGCCGGAUGUCUCUUCUUCUGUCCCGCUGCUGAAACCGGCCUCAGAGACUGCAGACACCAACGAAGAAGAAGUUAGAUUUGAAUCCUUCUUUCAUUACAUGUUAAUGGAUGCUUUCAUGACUUUGUUUUACUUUGAAUUAAGUACUAAUUCUACAGGGUGA